GACUCCGUAGCUCAGCUGGUAGAGCAAUUGACUCUUAAUCAAUGGGUCGAGAGUUCGAAUCUCUCCGGGGUCACAA
rnacentral:tRNA from 2 species